AAAAAGAACAUUAAGAAGAAAAGAGCAUACCAUUGCAAGAACUGAGAUCACCAGGAAUGUUACAUGCUUUAGGAAGUGCAAGUGCUUGAGUAAUAUUAAUACCAAAUGCAGGCAACAACGUAGGAUUCUCGUACAAUUUACAUAGACAAUCAAGUUCAUUAGUUAUGGCUUCUUUCAAUGGAUCACAACAUUCUGCCGGCGGUUUGGUGGAAUUAAGGUAAACUCCACAGGGAACUAAUUUCGAAGCACACGACGGCGUUUGAGCUUCUGUGUGGAAUUAAGGUAAUCUGCACAGGGAACUAAUUUCGAAGCACACGACGGCGUUUGAGCUUCCGCCACCGUCGCCGCCAUUAUCGCCACCGUGACUACCACCAUAAUCAGAGCAGACAUUUUGGAAGAAAACAUCCUUCUAUUUUUUUCUGUUUUGUUUUGGUUUAGUAUUGUUCUAUGUUUUGUCCUCCGGUGCUGGAAAUGUUAAUUGCUAAA
rnacentral:lncRNA from 1 species